AGAGUUUGAUCAUGGCUCAGAUUGAACGCUGGCGGCAUGCCUUACACAUGCAAGUCGAACGGCAGCACGGGAGCAAUCCUGGUGGCGAGUGGCGAACGGGUGAGUAAUACAUCGGAACGUGUCCUGGAGUGGGGGAUAGCCCGGCGAAAGCCGGAUUAAUACCGCAUACGCUCUGAGGAGGAAAGGGGGGGCUCGCAAGACCUCCCGCUCAAGGGGCGGCCGAUGGCAGAUUAGCUAGUUGGUGGGGUAAAGGCCUACCAAGGCGACGAUCUGUAGCUGGUCUGAGAGGACGACCAGCCACACUGGGACUGAGACACGGCCCAGACUCCUACGGGAGGCAGCAGUGGGGAAUUUUGGACAAUGGGCGCAAGCCUGAUCCAGCAAUGCCGCGUGUGUGAAGAAGGCCUUCGGGUUGUAAAGCACUUUUGUCCGGAAAGAAAACUUCCUGGUUAAUACCCGGGGAGGAUGACGGUACCGGAAGAAUAAGCACCGGCUAACUACGUGCCAGCAGCCGCGGUAAUACGUAGGGUGCAAGCGUUAAUCGGAAUUACUGGGCGUAAAGCGUGCGCAGGCGGUUCGUUAAGACAGAUGUGAAAUCCCCGGGCUUAACCUGGGAACUGCAUUUGUGACUGGCGGACUGGAGUAUGGCAGAGGGGGGUAGAAAUUUCCACGUGUAGCAGUGAAAUGCGUAGAGAUGUGGAGGAAUACCGAUGGCGAAGGCAGCCCCCUGGGCCAAAUACUGACGCUCAUGCACGAAAAGCGUGGGAAGCAAAAAAGGGAUUAGAUACCCCCGUAGUCC
rnacentral:rRNA from 1 species